rnacentral:rRNA from 1 species
AUGAACGCUAGCUACAGGCUUAACACAUGCAAGUCGAGGGGAAACGAUAUUGGAAGCUUGCUUCCGAUAGGCGUCGACCGGCGCACGGGUGAGUAACGCGUAUCCAACCUGCCCACCACUUGGGGAUAACCUUGCGAAAGUAAGACUAAUACCCAAUGAUAUCUCUAGAAGACAUCUGAAAGAGAUUAAAGAUUUAUCGGUGAUGGAUGGGGAUGCGUCUGAUUAGCUUGUUGGCGGGGUAACGGCCCACCAAGGCAACGAUCAGUAGGGGUUCUGAGAGGAAGGUCCCCCACAUUGGAACUGAGACACGGUCCAAACUCCUACGGGAGGCAGCAGUGAGGAAUAUUGGUCAAUGGACGAGAGUCUGAACCAGCCAAGUAGCGUGCAGGAAGACGGCCCUAUGGGUUGUAAACUGCUUUUAUAAGGGAAUAAAGUGAGUCUCGUGAGACUUUUUGCAUGUACCUUAUGAAUAAGGACCGGCUAAUUCCGUGCCAGCAGCCGCGGUAAUACGGAAGGUCCGGGCGUUAUCCGGAUUUAUUGGGUUUAAAGGGAGCGUAGGCCGGAGAUUAAGCGUGUUGUGAAAUGUAGAUGCUCAACAUCUGCACUGCAGCGCGAACUGGUUUCCUUGAGUACGCACAAAGUGGGCGGAAUUCGUGGUGUAGCGGUGAAAUGCUUAGAUAUCACGAAGAACUCCGAUUGCGAAGGCAGCUCACUGGAGCGCAACUGACGCUGAAGCUCGAAAGUGCGGGUAUCGAACAGGAUUAGAUACCCUGGUAGUCCGCACGGUAAACGAUGGAUGCCCGCUGUUGGUCUGAAUAGGUCAGCGGCCAAGCGAAAGCAUUAAGCAUCCCACCUGGGGAGUACGCCGGCAACGGUGAAACUCAAAGGAAUUGACGGGGACCCGCACAAGCAGCGGAGCAUGUGGUUUAAUUCGAAGCAACGCGAAGAACCUUACCAGGGCUUGACAUCCCUCUGACAGAUCCUUAAACGGAUUUUUCUUCGGACAGAGGAGACAGGUGGUGCAUGGUUGUCGUCAGCUCGUGCCGUGAGGUGUCGGCUUAAGUGCCAUAACGAGCGCAACCCCUCUCCUUAGUUGCCAUCAGGUGAAGCUGGGCACUCUGGGGACACUGCCACCGUAAGGUGUGAGGAAGGUGGGGAUGACGUCAAAUCAGCACGGCCCUUACGUCCGGGGCUACACACGUGUUACAAUGGCAGGUACAGAGAGACGGUCCCUUGCAAAACGGAUCAAAUCCUUAAAGCCUGUCUCAGUUCGGACUGGGGUCUGCAACCCGACCCCACGAAGCUGGAUUCGCUAGUAAUCGCGCAUCAGCCACGGCGCGGUGAAUACGUUCCCGGGCCUUGCACACACCGCCCGUCAAGCCAUGAAAGCCGGGGGCGCCUAAAGUCCGUGACCGUAAGGAGCGGCCUAGGGCGAAACUGGUAAUUGGGGCU